CAACAUGCGCUGAGCAUCGUUAUCGUGGUCAACGGUGCCGUGCUUCCGAGAAAGGGGCGAUCCCGAGCUAGCUGCCGAACUCCAUCGUGGAGGAUUCAUAGCCAAUGGUCAUGUGCACCAGCAAUGGCGGUUUGGCCUAGAGAUCCCCUCCGGCUUCGUCGAGCGGGAUGAGACGUCAGCGGAGACCCUCUCCUUGAGCUCAGCAAGAGAGCACGGGCCACCACCGAACGCCACCAGAUGAGGACGCCUACACCCCUCCUCCGGUCCCUCUGUACCUCCCCCUCAUCAUACGCCAAGAGCUAUGCGGUUGAAUUGAUCUGGGGUUUGUGUCCGGCUCUCGCUCAUCUGCUAUCUGAAGGAGAUUAGGUGUCUGCCUAAAAUCCGUGUCGGACGCGCGAUGUAGCUCUUUAGUUCCUGGAUGUCGUCCAGCUUCAUACGCUCAUUCACCAGGCAAGUAUAUUCGUAUCCAUAAAUCCUCGGCUUAGAUAUAUCUUCUCCUCCCCACGGUGAAUCUAGAAGCUAUACUCCUGCCCCACAUGUGCCCUUUGUUUCACGUCCUAAUUAAGAUGAAUGUAAGCAGCAUACUAAUCGCUUUAUUUUUUCAUUCGCCGGUUAAGCAUAGAGGUUUUCGUCUGAUUGCUUAGCUUUUGAUUAGAAAAUACAUUAGCAAACACAGUUUUAUCUAAGGAGGUAAUUUUUAAUGUCUUAUUAUUAAUAGGGGUCCAUUAAAUUAAAUUAGGCUUAAUGGGUUAUUUAAAUUUCACAAAGCAAUGCAUCUGAAUAGCUAUAUAUAUAAAUAAUACUGCCAUUUUGAGCUGCUAUGCGCACGCUGCUCUUUGUCCGAUUUGCGUACUAUGUGAACCAUCCAAACAUACAUGCGACAGAAGUCAAGCAAACGGAUGCAUUUUUUCCCGGACAGCCAUCGGACACGAAGUGUCGACUGCAGAGUAGUUUCGUUAUACUUUUGAUUUGUAUCUACCAGUUUAAUUAUUUCAGGGAUGUGUUCAGUCAUGACUUUUCAUUCUCGAGAGCAGAUUUUUUCAUUUGGGAUAAUGGAUCUAACACACACGUUUGUAGUCUCUCUUCUUCCCACAUCGAUGUGUGCUAUCAAUAUUUUGUAUGCUAGAUUAUAUAUUUAUAAAGACUCAUACUUUUAGUGCACAACAGUAGAAUUGUGAUGCAUUUCCCCCCCUCCAGCCGUCGGACACGAAGUGUCUACUGCAGAGUAGUUUCGUUAUACUUUUGAUUUGCAUCUACCAGUUUAAUUAUUUCAGGGAUGUGUUCAGUCAUGACUUUACAUUCUCGAGAGCAGAUUUUUUUUCAUUUGGGAUAAUGGAUCUAACACACACGUUUGUAAUCUCUCUUCUUCCCACAUCGAUGUGUGCUAUGAAUAUUUUGUAUGCUAGAUUAUAUAUUUAUAAAGACUCACACUUUUAGUGCACAACAGUAGAAUUAUAGCUUGCAGUACUUAAAGUUGUAAUGUGAUCCUCUACUGUUUUGUACACUUUCUACCAUGAUGCUUAGAUAGAUCAAAAAACUGCUUCCUAUAUCUGUAGUUAUUUGUAUUUUGAUUGCUCUGGCAACCCAAAUAGAUGAAGGAAAGUUUCUACUGUCUGUUUGAAGAUUCAGACAUGGGGAACAUAAAUAUUAUCUCAUGUAUUACGACUAAUGAUAUGUAUCAAUGAAGGAAAGUUUCUACUGUCUAUUUGAAGAUUCAGACAUGGGGAACAUAAAUAUUAUCUCAUGUAUUACGACUAAUGAUAUGUAUCAAUGAUUCAUGUCAGCUGUCGAAAAGCUGAGUGGAGGUCAUAUUCCAAAACCUCUUAUUUUCUAGCUAUAUAUUAAAUAUAUGGCGAAAUAAGCUCUUCUUCAUCACUUCCUUUAGUGCAUGGCUUCAGAAGAUAAAAAAAAGUCAGCUGGUGUUCGCAUUUGAACUUCAUUUGUAUGAUUACAAAAAUUAGGCAAUUUAUUUGUUAUUCAUUGGGUCUCAGAUUUAAAUCUGCUAUGAAAUUCAGAUACAUGAUUUAUUCAAUCAUGUUUGUUACUCUUCAAACAGGUUCAACUUGCCAAUCACUUGGCCCGUGACAUGUCGAAUGAGCGGUAUUUUGGGCUUCUUUACUUGUGAGUGCCAACAUCAGUAAGGAAACUAAAGUCAGCCAAAGGAUCAGCAAAGUUGGUUGCCUAACUGCCGAACAGCUGCCAGAGACAUAGAAGAGGUUCCAGUCACUUAGCCCUUGACAUAUAAAAUGAGCGAUAUUUUGAGGUUCUUUACUUGUGAGUGUAGCAUCAGAGCUAAAGAAUCAGCUAAACAGCUACCUGCGACAUUGGAGAGGUUAGUAGUAAGUCUGUUUUUUUAAAAUUCCGUACUGUGUCUAACUCCGAUUGUGAGCUCCUAUAGUCAAAUGAUUUUUAAUGGAAAAUAGGACGUCACACUGGUAAUAAAUUGUGAAUUAAUGCAACAAAGAAUUCACUGUCCAGGUUUACAAUGCUGAACCUGUUAAAAGAGUAGAGUGGUUAUACACACAUGAGGGAUAUGGAUGAGCUCAGCUUGUAGUACUCUUCUAUUGAGUGAACGUGUAGAUUUAAAAUAGCACUGUUUUCUUUACCUUUGAAAGCUAUACACUAUCAGUGGAUUUGUAUUACAGAAAAAAAAUUCCCCCACUGCAAAGAUAACCCAACCUACUGGUUUAGCAAAGAUUUUGGUUUCCUUUGGCGCACACCAUCAGUAUCUUCUAUUAACUAAUAUAGGCAAGGUAUUUACUUCCAGAUAUUUACACGUGUACAUAACAGUGGUGAACUAGAGGUUUGUAAGAUCAUGUCAUUUCCAUGCCACCAAUUAUCUGGUAUGUAUGUUUUAAGAGAACUGAACCCAAGGUUCGUUGCAGUUUUAGUAUGCCAUGCUAUAACAGUAUACCAUUAUAUUCUUCAGGCUCUAGGGCAUGUUCAAAGGUGCAACAAAUCCGAGCUUUACGCCGAAUUGGAAUAUGCGCUUCUAUUUUCGGUCACAUUUCUUUCACCACUCUACUCUUGCAAUCUUGCUAUCUCUCUUACCCGGUGGUCCUGAAGUAUUCCUGUGGCAUUGUACAUAGUACCAACAUUGAGCUAGGUUGAGUAUUUGGUUUUGGUUUUCAGUUUGUGUACGUGCAAACUCAGCUGUGGAAUAAAAUUCAGCUUGUGUACUCAUAAUGCACUCUGCCCGUUCCUGCUUA